GGGAAGUCGGCAGGGUGGUGGGGUUGACGCUAUCGUCCGGAAAUCGUCGAGGCAAUCGUGUAAAAGUGCACAAAGUGUAGGAAUGAAUAUCUCAGCGGACGCUUUUUCAAUGAACGCCAGAGGCAAUGAUCUAGGUGGCCUCAUCGCAGCGUACGCCGCGCCGCCGAAUUAAUGAGCGCAGGACGGACAGGCGGGCGGUGGUAACCCGACGAAGGGGCGACCGCUCCUCGACGCCGCAGCCUCCGUCAGGACGGGUUGCGAUGCGGGCUUAUUUAUUCCAUCACGGCGAGAAAAGAACCCGCACGCGACUUGUUUGCGAGACGAGCUGCGUUGUCGAGGAUAUCGGCUGACGAAAUUUCCAUACCCGGCUUUUUGCAGCGGUUGUUUGCCUUGUAAAUGCAUCUUUUGUGGCUCGCCGACAGAGGGCGGAUGAGUCGGCAGCCUGAAUAAUGUGGAAACACUGUCUCAGAGGUUUUUUUACCGAACCGAAGGCUUGCUUGAAAACUCCGUUUCACGCGGCAUGUGGCGAUUCGGAGAAUGGCAUGAUGGAGGUCCGUUUGGCGAUUUCAUCGUAAGACAAAAGGCGCGAAUAGGAAUGCGGCCUCGACAUGCACAUUUUGCAUGCGUUUUUUCUUUGUUGGACAAUGUGGUACAACCACCUUUGAAGUCGAAGCAUGUGGUCGAAGAUGGCUCAUUUAUUGCGCAAUGCGCGAUUGUGAAACAGACAAUCUGCAGCGUCUUAGGCUUUUACAAACACCUCACCCGCUCAAAGAGCAAGUAGUUGUGUCACGUUUCGUUUAUGGCAUUCAACCUCGUUUCCACCAUCGCCCACACAGCUCAUCUUUAUGCAAAUUAAUUACACGUCUGUUCACCGUUGU